GCGCAGCAGGCGCGAAUCCUCCGCAAUACACGAAAGUGUGACGGGGUUACCCAAAGUGUCCAAAUUUGGACUGUGGUAGGUGAGUAAUGUCCCCUACUAGAAAGGAGAGGGCAAGGCUGGUGCCAGCCACCGCGGUAAAACCAGCUCUUCAAGUGGUCGGGAUAAUUAUUGGGCUUAAAGUGUCCGUAGCCGGUUUAGUAAGUUCCUGGUAAAAUCGGGUAGCUUAACUAUCUGUAUGCUAGGAAUACUGCUAUACUAGAGGGCGGGAGAGGUCUGAGGUACUACAGGGGUAGGGGUGAAAUCCUGUAAUCCUUGUAGGACCACCAGUGGCGAAGGCGUCAGACUGGAACGCGCCUGACGGUGAGGGACGAAAGCCAGGGGAGCGAACCGGAUUAGAUA
rnacentral:rRNA from 1 species